UAUCUUUCUUCCUCACCACAAAACCUAGCCUCCAUGGAUGAAGCUUGAAGCUUUAGGCAUUGACCUUGAUCUUUGAGGCCCUUCCACUUACUUUAGACCAUAAAGUUUGGAAUACUUUUUGUUUCCCUCAUCCUCCUCUUCAAAACCUUGAAGGAUCUAGCCUAACUCCUAGUUUUGCUUUGGUAUCUAGGGAUUCAAAACUCUAGUGAGUUGAAGGUAACAAGCUGAAAUAUCUGUCUUGCGGACCAAAAAUUUAGGGCGAUUUCAUUUCGGUGGUAAUUGGGAUUUUCAUUCCAACUGAGGUACAGGAUACAAGAUUGGAGAUUGCAAUUGCUUGGGUGAUUUGCUAAGUUGAGCUUCUUUAGAAACAUUCUUGUUCACAUGCAAGUGUUAGCAUGUUCAUGAUUUGUCUAUGAAAUGUAAUUUUUCUAACUUGGAGGUCUGACAUGUCAAAUGUUGUAAAUGAGUUGUAAUAAGGCCAUGGGCCAUUGUAGCAUGUUUAAAAUAUCAUUUUACACUUGCGUGUAUGU